rnacentral:lncRNA from 1 species
UUAAUCUACAAAUUAUGCACAACAAACUAGAGACUCAGUUAGGAUUAGAAAGCUUAAAGUAUGUUUGAUGUAGGAAAUAAGCUUCUCAGAGUUAUACUUGAUUCUGUCUGUAGAUAAGAGACAGUCUACAGUAAUAACUAACCCAGGGAAUUUACUGUAAUUUGAGAGGUAACAUCUCUAUUUUUUUCUUUUUAAAUACAGAAAGUAAUAGUCACCAGCAAGCCACGAUUUCAGGAAAACUGACUAAAAAAAAAAAGUCAAAAUAGAAAAUAUCAGAAAAAUGAAAGAUUUUUGUGUGCCCUCUCCAUAUCCUCAUUGUUUUUGUUGCAUUCGUCCUUGACUCUAAAAUCACUGAAGUAUUCAUGAUUAGUAGUUUGUAAGUAGGAAGUGGUUUUUCUGUAUGUACCAUAUAUCCAGUUCAUUUCAAUUUUCAAACUAAAAUCCAUAUGUAUUUGCUGAGAAAGUUAUUUGAAAUCUUAUAUUCUGACAAAUUCUGUACAUUACAUCCAUUUGAAGUUUUGCAUCAUCUUAACACUUUUGCUUUGCAUUUCAAUUGUACAAAGUGUUUCCAAAAAAAUGGUUAUAGAUUCGACUGAGCUAUUACUAACUUCUCCAUUUGAUUUUUUAUGGAUGUGAAAAAUGCUGCUACUUGUCUAUGUUAUUAUGUGUAAGUAUAUUACAAUUUAAUUAAGUACAGUAGUUUAAAGAACGAAGCAAUUUUUUUUUUUUUUUGGCUUAGAACUUCUUAAUUGUAGGUUCCUCUGAAGCGAUUUCAUGUAGAUAUGUGAGUGUUUUAAACAAGUCUGAAAGUGUUACAUACUUUUAGGUUACAGGGGUGCUGGGGAGACAGCUGAGGAAAAGAAGAAUAUGUGGAAGACACCACGGAGUUCAAAGUUUUACCCUGAGUUCUAUCUUCCAUAUAUGUUUUGCUUAAGGCAUUUCUCAUGUGACAUUAGAAAAGCUAUAUCCAAAGGUAAAUUUUUUGUGGCAAAGAUUUAUUUUACACUUUAACUUUUGGGAUUUUAUUUGUUUCAGCAAAAUAAAGAGCACUGAACUUUAAACUUGAAUUUUUUCUGCACUUUUUUAGGGUAUUUGUUCUCUUGGAUUGAAAUUUAUGCCCACAGAUUUUUCUUUUCAUUUGAAAAUGAAUGUGAAGAUACUGUUUACAGCUUUUGUUAAUUGCAGUUUUCAUCACUCUGAUCAAUUUCUUGUAAAGUGCUAUGGGAAUUAUUUUUCCUGUGAAUAUUAAUGAUUUUACUACUGCCUCCAAAGUUUUAAAAAAGGUUCUGUAGACAGAAAACAGUUGUUGCAACCAAAAACAACCAAAAAAAGAAAAGGAAAACUGGCUUACCUUUCUCAGAUGAAUUAAAUGAUUUUAAUAACUUCCCAAUUACCAGGGUUAUAACGUUGCUUUCUUCAGUUAUUAAUACAGUCAAAUUAAUUUUAACAAUAUAAGCACAAUUCAUUUACAAAUUCAGUACAGUAGUCCAGGGCUACAUGUAAGUGGUCUCUAUUUUAUUCUUUACAUCAGAAAAAUCAUGAAUGUCAGUUUUGCCAGUAUUUUACAAUGAGGCUUAUCGUUUAAAAUUUUAUAGUGUAUGACAUGUAAAUAAACCAGUAUUUAUUGUAGGUUGUUUGAUUCAGGCAUUUCAAAUGGAUAUAGGUUAAUGGCAAUGGAAUCCUAUUUAUUUGGUAGUUGGUUUUGUUUUUGUUUAUUUACUUUUGCUAUUUGUUUUGUAUUGUCUAAACUUUGCUUCAACUGAAGACAGUGUAAGGAGUUGAAAAUACAAUCAACAUAGCAAUGGAAAGCAAUGCAAAGAGGGUAAAUCUUGUUUUAAUUUUUUUAACUUUUUUUUUUUUGUAAAUAAAUAGUACUGUGAUACUUUAGGUGUGACCUUCUAUUCCACAUGAUAGUUAGAACCAGAAAAACACUUUUGCUUUCUAGUUGUACUAUUGGUUCAUUGUAAAUGCAUUACCAAAAGACAAUAUGAAAAAGAGCAAGAUUAAGUUUUUCUAACAUUGUCCACUUCAGGGGCAAGCAUGCUUGGUAUAGAGCUCUAGCUUGUGUAUACCUUAAACUGUAACUUGCAGGUGUUUUUCAGUUGCUGCACUUUUUAUUUAAUCUUGCUCAGUCCCAGUAACUAUCUCAAAGGUAAUUGCUGGAAUAUGCAUUUUGAAAUACGGUUUAAAAAAAAUCUGUGUAUUGUUUCAUCUAAAAAGAAAAGCACUAUUGCAAACACUAAAAACGUGUUAAACUUUGUAGUUAUUUUGCAUUCCUGUACUUUACAAACUGUCAUCACAGCAAAAAGUUUAAAAUUAGGUAAUGAAAUAUUUUUGUAAAUAAAUACCGUUAAGCUGGUAUUUUAAAAAAUGUAUUAUAAAUUAAUGUUUCUGGAAAAUGUUCAUAUAUAUGUAUAUGAAUGUCUCUUUAUGCUGAAGGGCUCUGAUUGGGCAAAAUAAAAUACUCUAAUCUCUC